AUAACGUUGUGAAGUGGACGGAGUCAUCGUUGGGUGAGUGCUGGCUCUAUUUGCACUAAGAGUGGGUGUGCCGUGUCUGAAGUGGUGUAUUUGCACAAUAAAUCGUUUGAAGUGAAGUUACAGAGUGUGGGGAAGAUAUAUAGAUUAAUGCCGGACGCUCACCACCCCGAGAGCCCACCACCGUCACCGUAAUCCACACCCAGGCACUCAACUGAAGCAUCUCCCAGCCGUAAGCCCCAUUGCUUAUCCAAGAACACAUACUUACUGUUGAUUACUUACUCUGCUGUGCAGAUCGCAGGAUCCUUUGAACCGAACGCCGCAUGUGAUGUCCCUAUGAAAAGAGGUGGACACACGAAUUAUUCCUUUCCCGGUCUUAACCGAAGCAUCUCCCAGCCAUCACAGGAUUCUCUGGGC